GGGGGGAAGGAAGGGAGAGGAGAUGGAACCACUUGGGAGAGGUGCUCGUCGCACUGCUUAAUGCGAUCUUCAGGGGGAGGCACGCAGCACCGCAGAGAAUAAAGCUGCCGAGGCCUGAGAGAGCACCGUGGAGCACGAGGAGGCCUGUCUGUGGGAAGAAAUGUCCCUCAGGCCCUGUGCUGCCCAAGGGAAGAGGUGGUGUGAGCUUGGGAGAGAAAACAGAGACCAUCCUCUCUGCAAGGCUGGGUAGCACGCAUGGAGGCCUACCCUGACACCACCUAACUUCAUGCUCAGGACCUUCUGGGAUCUUGGGAGGCUCCUGUCCUCCAAAAACCCAGCUUUUGGGCAACUUGUGUAAAUGGCAGAAGAAGUCACAGGCUGCUGGGCAUGUCCAUGACAUAACCGGCGCUCGGCCUGGGUGACUCACCCCCGUACCCGGAGCCUUCCCAGGCUUCAGACGGAGAACAAAGGCAGCCUGCAGCUCCCCGCGUGCCCGCAGAGCCGGGUUACUCACCCAGACACCAGGAAGUCGCUCGGGCUUUUGUUUUGUGGUGUGGAUGUGCAGGGGCUCAUUCGGGGAAAGCAGCCGCCCCGGUCAGUGUUUCCAGAGCUGUGAAUUGCUUUUUCCAACGCUGAGCAACCUGGCACUGAGGCAGCGGUGCUGCCAUGGGACAGACACAGCUGGUGCCACCCCACUGCUCCGUCAGGUCCCCCCCUGUCCUCCAGCAGAUGCUGAACAAGAUCAGGUGCAGGAGAAAAGGUUGGAUGCAUCAAUCUCAGCACCAGAAAUGGGUAAAAACCAGGACACUAUUUUUUCUAGGAAAUAUUGCCCGACUGCUUUAGUUUCAUAUGUGUUUGGAAGUUCAUCUCCAGCCUCCAUGUUAUAUUACCAUCUACAGAAUACAUCGCUCUGCAUCUGCAGGAAGAUGCACAAGAACACUUCUUCCCCUGUUGGCAGCUCUCUGUGACGGUCAUGCAUGGAGCAAAUCACAUUUUGACUCCUUUCCAGGGCUGCUCUAGCACUCCCUGUAAUUUUUGUGGAGGAUCCGCCGCAGCCAUCAUAAUGAAACUCGUUCCCUUGUUGUGGUCAGCACUACUUUCAUCACGCAUUUGCAAUAACGCUCCUUCUUCUUCUUCCUUUUUUUUUUUUUUUUUUUGNUUUUUUUUGGCCUGUAUUUGUCAGCGCCUUCCUCUCCUUCCAGCAAGUGUUAGUUAAGACAUUCCUAGAAUAGGCUUCAGAAGGACUUCUCAUGGAAAUGAGGCAUUUCACAAGGGGUGUCGUUGGACCUGCCAAUACCACGAGGGAUGCUGGGGACCCUCCUGCCAUUCUGGGGUGCCCACGGUGUAAAACUUUCCCUGUUUUGGAUAAAUGCUGCCUGGAUAAAUGGCCAGACCUAGAUGUUAGGCUGCUGUUAAUGGUCAACCUACAACAUCAUUUGCUCAGGAACAUCUUCUGAGUAAAGCCUCCUCCAUCUGGGGACAAGAAGCAACUUGAAUGAGUAAAAUUACGUGUGUGUUUGUCCAGGCCUUGGAAACUAGCCAGAG
rnacentral:lncRNA from 1 species